AAACCAUGCAUCGGACAUUUUCUCAGUAGCUCCUUGAAUCGCUCUCAUGCUUCAUAUAAUGUUUCAUCCUCUGAUUGUCUAAACGAUGUAAUACCGCUCCUCAACUU
rfam:Gossypium raimondii Chr10_contig_610, whole genome shotgun sequence.